rnacentral:rRNA from 1 species
GACGAGGGGUCCAAGCGUUGUUCGGAAUCAUUGGGCGUAAAGCGGGUGUAGGCGGCUCUAUAAGUCAGAAGUGAAAGCCCCGAGCUUAACUUGGGAAGUGCUUUUGAUACUGCAGAGCUUGAAUGUGGGAGAGGGUAGUGGAAUUCCAGGUGUAGUGGUGAAAUACGUAGAUAUCUGGAGGAACACCGGUGGCGAAGGCGGCUACCUGGCCCAACAUUGACGCUGAGACCCGAAAGCGUGGGGAGUCAAACAGGA